AUAGCGUAUAUUAAAGUUGUUGCAGUUAAAAAGCUCGUAGUUGAACCUUGGGCCUGGCUGGCCGGUCCGCCUCACCGCGUGUACUGGUCCGGCCGGGCCUUUCCUUCUGGGGAACCUCAUGCCCUUCACUGGGCGUGUUGGGGAACCAGGACUUUUACUUUGAAAAAAUUAGAGUGUUCAAAGCAGGCCUUUGCUCGAAUACAUUAGCAUGGAAUAAUAGAAUAGGACGUGUGGCUCUAUUUUGUUGGUUUCUAGGACCACCGUAAUGAUUAAUAGGGAUAGUCGGGGGCAUCAGUAUUCAAUCGUCAGAGGUGAAAUUCUUGGAUCGAUUGAAGACUAACUACUG
rnacentral:rRNA from 1 species